rnacentral:lncRNA from 1 species
CUUGACAGAAGAGAUAACAGAACCACUUUAAACCAGCUGUAGUCAGCUUCUCAGAAGGAAUAACCCAAACAUCACAAACCUUCUGCUUGUUUCUUUCACACAGAGAAGCUUCCAGAACCCUUUUGAAUUAAUGAGAAUAGGAAAGAUCUCUACACAUCAGAUCAAUACUUUCUGCACUAAGAAAUGCAAACUGACACUAUGACCUUUCCCAAAUGCUGCCCAAUUUAAGGAGGAGGAAACUGGGCACUGCCCCUCCCGCCAUUCCAGUGCGUCUGAAGGAGACACACACUGACUGAUGUGUAGGUGAUCACUUUCCCGAGAAAAUAUGCUCUCUACUUUCCCAGGCAGUCCAAUCUGGGGGCCCUGUCAACUAAGAUUGCUCUCACUGGAACUGAGUGAAGAUGGCGGCUGCCAGCAGCAAAAAGACCUUUGGAUUGAUUCGGCAGGAACACCAGCGUGUGAGGAGAUGCUGUGAACUUAUAGAGGGGAAUCAUAGACAUAAAAUCCACACAGAAACACACCAUUGCUUGUUUUAACUCGCUUGUGGGAACAACUCAGAGGCUGUGAAAGAAGGAAGGUUAACAACAGAAAGAAUUAGAGGAACCAUCAGAAGUGACUAUGAAAAGCACUAGAAGUAUGAGAUGAUCAGAACCCUCCGAACUUGAAGCAUGGGAAGUCCUAUUAAAACUUUAUAAUUUGGCAGAAUAUUCG